UCUGACAAACCAGCCGUUCCCUCCUGAGUGCAGGCCGGAGACACGAACCCAAAGAUAAGACAUAGUCAAGAAAAAUUUUGUGUGUCUUUGGCCAUAUUCAUCAAAGCAUCAAAGGUUAUUCAAAAAAAAAAAACUACUUGGAUGAAGCAGAACCUUUUCUAAGGAAAAUCCGCCAACCUCCGCAGUGCUUUUGGAAUCACUCAAGGCCGAAAGACUCUCCCUCCGAGCAACAGUUGAGCGAAAGCUCCUCGGCUAAAGGAGCCACCGCUGAAAAAGUCCCACCGGGCGACGAGCUCCAGGCUGAAAGCACUGCCGCAACUUCUGCCAGCAGAAACGCUCCACUUCCAAACUCGACAACA